rnacentral:rRNA from 1 species
CGAAAGCCUGACGGAGCAACGCCGCGUGAGGGAUGAAGGCCUCUGGGCUGUAAACCUCUUUUCUCAAGGAAGAAGAUCUGUCGGUACUUGAGGAAUAAGCCACGGCUAAUUCCGUGCCAGCAGCCGCGGUAAUACGGGAGUGGCAAGCGUUAUCCGGAAUCAUUGGGCGUAAAGCGUCCGCAGGCGGCCUUGUAAGUCUGUUGUUAAAGCGUGGAGCUUAACUCCAUUUCAGCGAUGGAAACUACAAGGCUUGAGUGUGGUAGGGGCAGAGGGAAUUCCCGGUGUAGCGGUGAAAUGCGUAGAUAUCGGGAAGAACACCAGUGGCGAAGGCGCUCUGCUGGGCCAUAACUGACGCUCAUGGACGAAAGCCAGGGGAGCG